CAUCAGACCUUGGAUUCUUCUUUUCAUGGUUCGGCCAAGCCCUUCAUGACCAAGGGUUCCAUUUUAUCAAACCGAAAACCUGAUCUCUCUUGAAUCAAACCCAGCCGCAUGUUUAUAUCCCUAGCUCCCUGUACGCAUAGAAAAGGAAUACCCAAGAAAACCGAUUGACAAUCCGUGAUUCAAAGUCACUCUUAGCUUCCAUCUUGCUCUCUCUCAUCACCGUAAGCCUCUUAGAUGAAAUCACAAACAAUGCUGCAUUCCCUUCUUACAUCAUCCCUAUCUCAAAUCGUGACCUUCCUAAGGAGACAGCAAAACAUUAAGCAAACCAAUCCUUUUAUUUCUAGUCAGCCGUGUAACUUUAAGCAAGGAGGUUGAAGCUCAACAUUCUUUCCCCCUUGUGCGCACAGUCCCACUUUAAGUAGGAGAAGGUAAGGUGCUCUAACCUCUAAAAGAGUAGGCUGAUUGGUGAUGUUUUGAUUAAAAACGUUAAAGACUUGAGGAGGACUUAGAAGCAUUUGAAGGGGUGUUUGAUGACAUGAUCACAUGAAUAAUUCUAUUUAAGUUAUGUUGUUGGCAACCUUGCUGUUUGUUAGCUAUCUCUGCUCAUUGUAUUCUGAUUAUUUGACUUGGUGUAGUUUCUUAAAGAAUGGCAUGCCAUGAUGUAUAUUCUGUUUUGAAAGGAAGCGUAGCACGAUUUUUAUAUCUCUAGUAUUUAGUUUGCGAAAAUUAUUGUUGUAGUAUUUAAAUUCGGAUUUUUGAGCUGUUUUUGCGAGCACUU